UGUCACUGUUAUUAUGCCUUACAGGGGCUGGAGAGGCGGCUCUUGGCUAAGAGCAAUUGUUGCUCUUGCAGAGGGAGCAGGUUUGGUUCCUAGCAUGCGAGGAGGUUCGUAACGGCUGUAACUCCGGUUCUAGGUGAUCCAGCUCUGUCUUCUGGCCUCCUUGGGCACCCGGUAUGCAGAUGGUAAACAGACAUACAUGCAGACAAAACACCCAAACUGAUCCUCCUUCUGAAGGAGUAUGAUGACGUCUGUUUCCUCCUGAACUCUGGUAGCUAGCACUGUGAAAAUUACAGCCGGAUGCUUCCCUACACUGCCUCUUCUCUGAACGUCUCAGUGCAAAUGGACUUCGGCUCACCAAUGAGAGGGCGACCCUGUUUGUCUCCUGAAGUCGUACCAGAGGAAGCCAACGGAAAUAGAAGCUGCAGAGGGAAGGCAGAGUCCUGCGUAGACACCAACAUAUAGGCAUCGAUCA